GGCGCAAAUAUCAGGAGGAACACCGAUGGCGAAGGCAGAUCUCUGGGCCGUAACUGACGCUGAGGAGCGAAAGGGUGGGGAGCAAACAGGCUUAGAUACCCUGGUAGUCCACCCCGUAAACGUUGGGAACUAGUUGUGGGGUCCUUUCCACGGAUUCCGUGACGCAGCUAACGCAUUAAGUUCCCCGCCUGGGGAGUACGGCCGCAAGGCUAAAACUCAAAGGAAUUGACGGGGACCCGCACAAGCGGCGGAGCAUGCGGAUUAAUUCGAUGCAACGCGAAAAACCUUACCAAGGCUUGACAUACACCAG
rnacentral:rRNA from 1 species